rnacentral:rRNA from 1 species
CAGGGAUUGCCUCAGUAACGGCGAGUGAAGCGGCAACAGCUCAAAUUUGAAAGCUGGCUCCUUCGGGGCCCGCGUUGUAAUUUGUAGAGGAUGCUUCGGGCGCGGCGCCGGUCUAAGUUCUUUGGAACAAGACGUCAUGGAGGGUGAGAAUCCCGUAUGUGACUGGUGGCCUGUGCCCAUGUGAAGCUCCUUCGACGAGUCGAGUUGUUUGGGAAUGCAGCUCAAAAUGGGAGGUGUAUUUCUUCUAAAGCUAAAUAUUGGCCAGAGACCGAUAGCGCACAAGUAGAGUGAUCGAAAGAUGAAAAGCACUUUGGAAAGAGAGUUAAACAGUACGUGAAAUUGUUGAAAGGGAAGCGCUUGCAAUCAGACUUGCGCGGCGUCGAUCAACCUGGGUUCUCCCGGGUGCACUCGGCGCCGCUCAGGCCAGCAUCAGUUUCGGCGGUGGGAUAAAGGUCCAGGGAACGUGGGUCGCCUCGGCGACCGUUAUAGCCCUGGGCGCAAUGCCGCCUGCCGGGACUGAGGACCGCGCUUCGGCUAGGAUGCUGGCGUAAUGGUUGUAAGCGACCCGUCUUGAAACACGGACCAAGGAGUCUAACAUUUGUGCGAGUGUUUGGGUGUCAAACCCAUACGCGUAAUGAAAGUGAACGGAGGUGAGAACCCUUAAGGGUGCAUCAUCGACCGAUCCUGAUGUCUUCGGAUGGAUUUGAGUAAGAGCAUAACUGUUGGGACCCGAAAGGUUAGUACAUCCUCCCCCUAUUUUCUUUUUUAUCUACCACCUUUUAGAACCGCAUACUAACUUUAUCUCCCACAGAUGGCGAACUAUACUUGAAUAGGGUGAAGCCAGGGGAAACCCUGGUGGAGGCUCGCAGAGGUUCUGACGUGCAAAUCGAUCUUCAAAUUUGGGUAUAGGGGCGAAAGACUAAUCGAGCCAUCUAGUAGCUGGUUCACGCCGAAGUUUCCCUCAGGAUAGCAGUGUUGUAUUCAGUUUUAUGAGGUAAAGCGAAUGAUUAGAGGCCUUGGGGUUGAAACAACCUUAACCUAUUCUCAAACUUUAAAUAUGUAAGAAGU